rnacentral:tRNA from 1 species
GUCCCUAUCGUCUAGAGGCCUAGGACAUCGCCCUUUCACGCGGUAACCGGGGUUCGAAUCCCCGUAGGGACGCCA